rnacentral:rRNA from 1 species
GGGUGCGUAACACGUAGGAAUCCACCCGACAGUGGGGAACAACUCGAGGAAACUCGAGCUAAUACCGCAUAAGCCCAAGGGGGAAAGCGGGCCAAUCGCGCUGUCGGACGAGCCUGCGUCCGAUUAGCUUGUUGGUGAGGUAAUGGCUCACCAAGGCGAUGAUCGGUAGCUGGUCUGAGAGGAUGAUCAGCCCCACUGGGACUGAGACACGGCCCAGACUCCUGCGGGAGGCAGCAGUGGGGAAUAUUGGACCAUGGGUGCCAGCCUGAUCCAUCAAUGCCGCGUGUGUGAACAACGCCUUCGGGUUGUAAAGCACUUUCAUUGGGGAAGAAACCAUUACCCACAGAAGAAGCACCGGUUAAUUCCCUGCCAGCAGCCGCGGUAAUACGGAUGGCGCCCGCCUUUAUCGGAAUUACUGGGUGUAAAGCGCGCGUAUGCGGUUACGUAACUCACAUGUGAAAGCCCCGAGCUCAACUUGGGAA